CAGAAAAUAGUUUAUAUUAAAAUUUUAAUUUUGGAUAUUAAUGAAGGAUUAUUUGUUCUUUUCUGA
rnacentral:tRNA from 1 species